GAAUGAUGAUCAACAACAAACUUGUAUUCACUGUGCUGUUCGUAAUGACGUCUUUUCUCUGCUUAUGUACCGAUCCGGUCAAAGGUCAGUGGAGUUGUCAGUGUGCUAGAGGUUGUAGAGGAUUCCAUAUGGGAUACUGCAGGCCAUAUGACGGAAGGAUUCGAUGCUGUACAAUGGGGUCGAUCGGCGGAACUGGAGGUCUGUGAUGCAAAGCAGUUGAGCCAAUCUUGUGUUAAGUGGUAACUGACCUCUGUUCUAUGAUAAAAACACAUAUAUUUGUUUGAUAAAAGGUCAUUCUAUUUUUAGAUACCGAUACAUCUUGUUGUAACUUAGUCGUAAGGCUUACACGAUAGUUACUCCAACCAAACUACACAUUCAUCUUAGUGAAAACCAUAAUUUGGUCUUUUUUUUAAAAAGACGUAAAAUUUGAAUAAAGUUCUCAAUAACACUCAUUCAUAGGACUUUUCAUUUUAUAGAUUCUUCUGCACAAAUCUACAGUCACCAAACUGUCUCGAUUACAAACUAUUUCACCAUACUGUCUAAGUACUUGUAACUGAAUAAAGUUCUACAUGUAUACCUUUUGUGGAGAAUUGGGCUCUACUUUGUGCCUUGAGAAUGUUUUUCAUAAAAAUACAUUCAAUUUCAAACAAUUCUUUUAACAUGAAAACUGAUGACAAUAGGAUUGGUUACAGGGCAGCGUCAAUUAAAGUCCUUUCCGAAACAUAAAAACACAGUGGUACAAGAUAAAGUACAUUUUAUUAACAUAUAACAUAUUUAGUCAUAAGAUAAUUGAUAAAUUACAGUAUUGUGUAAGGGAAGCAACUCGUAUACAAACUGCAUAAACUUGAUUUAUGUAUACAUCAAUUGGCAAAUAUUGGAUGUGUUGGUGUUUUCUCGCCUCAACAGAUCCAUGUCAAAAGAAGUCACUAUAUUGUUUAAAGAUUCUACAUCAUCGACAGAGUUAUGACCGAUUUAAAACAAUCGGCUGUUAUAUAUUUAUAUCAUAGAAUACCCAAAGUUUACUUCUUUAUGCUAUUACUAAACGCUUGAGCGUAUAAUGGUAUCUUUUGAAUUUAAAUCGGAAAAAUAAUUAAUUGCAUCCCGAAGGAAUUUCAUCUUGCUCCGCCUCUACCAAAUUAUUGGGUUGACUUUUUCGUGAGAUACGCGAAGUAGGCGAUCCCAAUUGUGCGUAGACAUCGAGAAGAAGAAAAAAAAAUCAUAUAGUUGCAACAAGUAUCAACGAAUAAAAAAUGCAGGCAUAAAAACAACUCCAGGAAAAAUGACUACUUUUGUUAUAAAAGAAACACAAAAAUCAUCGGGAUUCGAAUUUGUUACUAAGUUGAUAAAUGGCAUUGGCAACAACAUGUUUCUUCCCACAGCUGUCCUGAUAUAUAACAAUUUUUCACUGGUUAGGUCACUUAAGAAAAAACAUAUCAUUAUUGAAUGUCUAUUUAUCAUUUGUUUUUCAGAAAAGCAUCAUUACAAAUGGGUCAGUGUAACAGAUUUUACUGGAGUGGGGAGCAAUGUGUA